rnacentral:lncRNA from 1 species
CGCAAAAGAUACUCGAAUGUCGUUAAAAUCUUUACAAUAUCUGGAAAAAUAAAGAGGCAAACCAUUUCCAUCAUCUAGUAUACAUAUUCAAAAGUUUAGAUGAAAAGGUAAUCGCCUGAACACUCGACUAUAAAAGGCUCAAAAAAUAGGUACGCUAAGCGUACAUGUAUCUGCGCAUUAAAGGUCCAGACACAGCAAAUAAAAACAAGAAAUAAAAUUUUACAAGAUAUGCAGACAAAAUAGCUAAAUAUUUUUAAGUGGUUCCGAAUAUUUGAAAAGACGCGUUGCCAAAUCGCGUCCGGUCUGUGUGGGCCUUAAGGCCUGAUUCCACGACGGCGAAAUUCGUCGCGAGAAAUUGUGUCUGCGAAAUACGGUUGGUUGCACAUGUGAGCGAUUGUAUUGAAUUUUCCCACUUUGUCCGUGGCUUUCGCAGUAAGUAGAAAUGUUUCGCCUUCAGUCGCCGAGAAAAAGCUCUCGCGGAAUCAGGGCUUUACUGCAUUUGUGUUGCAUUGACAGAAUUACAUUUUUACCGCAAGUGUCCGAAAUUGUGCUAGUUGAAAUUAUAUGCCUGCUUCAGAUAUAAUUUUACGUUUAACCAGUGACUUCUAAAUUAAGAGGACGAGAACCAUUUAUAUCCCGAAUGCAAUAACAGUCAUACAAGAAAGUUUCUUUUUAUCUGGAGCUAAAUAUCUGCUACUCAUACAGUUCAUUACUUUUAAGAACAAUCUAAAGAAAACAAUUAAUUAAGGCUGUAAAACGUGGGGAUUCAAAGACGUCGGAUUAGACGUCUGUACAUGGAGUCAUGUAUUCGAGACCGACUUGUGGGCAAGUGUAUAGGAGUCAUGAGCUAAUAAUAUAUAGUUUCUGACAUUUAAAACAUGCAACAGGGCUACGUUUAUGCUAUACUUUGUUUUUAUAGUUUAGCCAAGUUUCAUAGGCCUCCAUUAAAUAACAGUCAAGAUAUAUACGCAAAUAUAAUUUCCGUGUCUAUCUAAAAUUUGUAAUUGUUUUGUGAAGAUUCAACCAUAAAACAAUCGCCGGAAAUGGAAGUGCCCUGAUUAUAAAAGAUCGUGACUAAAACACCACACGAGUACAUACGAGUAACACACAAGUACAUACGAGUACAUACGAGUAACAUACGAGUACAUACGAGUAACAUACGAGUAAAACACAAGUACACACGAGUACAUACGAGUAGAAUACGAGUAAAAUACGAGUAGUAAACUUGUUUUUAGUGUUUGUAGAUUGAAUACAGGCAAAAAGAUCGUCUUCUCUGUCGAAAAACGUGAAAUAGACUGAAACCGGCUAUCUUUAAAACCCGGAACGGGGAAUGGGGCCGACGGGGAAUGGGAGAACGGGGAAAUGGGGAAACGGAGAAUGGGAGCACGAGGAACGGGGGGUGACAGGGGAAUGGGGGAAUUAUGAAUUAUUAUUAAUACGGAAUAUUAAUGAUAUGUACGGGGGGAAAAAGAACAGAAAAAGGAAACAGAAAUUCGACAGGAUAAACAGGAAUCGGGGAAUUACGAAACUAUAAAACGGAUUCUGGUGUCUUGGGAAUUAGAAAACCGCUCAAUGAAUUAAAAAGUAAAGAAAUUUAGCGAAGUUUUCCUUUAUUAGUAGAGCGUAUCAUAAAAAAGUCAAUCCACAUUGCUUAUGUCAGAUCAUUAAGUAAUAUUCACUAAUAAUAAUAACAUUGCUUAUGUCAUUACUAAUAUACUUGCUAUAUAAUAAAACAAACUUAAGGACUAGAUGCAAGGCGAAGGCAGUCCUUAUGCUCCAUAUGAUAUCUUAAAGUGAUUAUCCGAUUUUAAAUAUCUUACAAAGCAAAACUAACAAAACACAAAAUACUUCAAAAAGUACGCAGAUUUUAAGUUAGCAAUUUAAGUUGUUGCCAAAAAAGGACCCAGCCGAACUCUCCUACAAACCUUUGGACGUGCUCCACCUUGAAAAGGGGAGGAAAGUCUGGAGGAACGACGAGAACGUCGCCAAGAAAGCUUGGAUACUUUGCUCUGAUGCAGGCUGAUCGGAGAUGAAAAUGCACGUUCUGAGGCUCACUUGAAAACUGGAUUUGUCCUGUAUUUCGGUCUCGGAACUGUCGUAUGUCGUGGUAUUCGACAAUUAAAUCAUCAGGUAAAGCUUCAGGAGGAUUCUUUAUUUUUCCGUUGCAUCCGUAACAUCGAGAUACCCGUGUCCCUGCUACACAUUUUAGUUUGAAC